rnacentral:rRNA from 1 species
ACGUCUUCUUCUCGCUUUCUCCUGAUUUACUGGGUGUAAAGCGCGUGCAGGCGGUUCUGCAAGUGGGACGUGAAAGCGCCCGGCUCAACCGGGCGAGGACGUACCGAACUGCGGGACUAGAGGCAGGGAGAGGCGUGUGGAAUUCCGGGUGUAGUGGUGAAAUGCGUAGAGAUCCGGAGGAACACCAGUGGCGAAGGCGACACGCUGGGCCUGGCCUGACGCUCAGACGCGAAAGCAUGGGGAGCGAACGG